rnacentral:tRNA from 2 species
GGGCCGGUAGCUCAGGGGUAGAGCAUCGGACUUUUAAUCCGAGUGUCGAGGGUUCGAAUCCCUCCCGGCUCA